rnacentral:rRNA from 1 species
UACGAAGGGGGCUAGCGUUGCUCGGAAUCACUGGGCGUAAAGGGUGCGUAGGCGGGUCUUUAAGUCAGGGGUGAAAUCCUGGAGCUCAACUCCAGAACUGCCUUUGAUACUGAAGAUCUUGAGUUCGGGAGAGGUGAGUGGAACUGCGAGUGUAGAGGUGAAAUUCGUAGAUAUUCGCAAGAACACCAGUGGCGAAGGCGGCUCACUGGCCCGAUACUGACGCUGAGGCACGAAAGCGUGGGGAAGCAAACAGGGAUUAA